UACGGAGGGUGCGAGCGUUGUCCGGAAUCACUGGGCGUAAAGGGCGCGUAGGCGGCCUGGUAAGUAGGGGGUGAAAUCCUGCGGCUUAACCGCAGGGCUGCCUUCUAAACUGUCAGGCUCGAGCACGGUAGAGGCAGAUGGAAUUCCCGGUGUAGCGGUGGAAUGCGUAGAUAUCGAGAGGAACACCUGCGGCGAAGGCGGGUUGCUGGGCCGACACUGACGCUGAUGCGCGAAAGCCAGGGGAGCGAACGGG
rnacentral:rRNA from 1 species